rnacentral:rRNA from 1 species
AUUGAACGCUGGCGGCAGGCCUAACACAUGCAAGUCGAACGGUAACAGGAAGCAGCUUGCUGCUUCGCUGACGAGUGGCGGACGGGUGAGUAAUGUCUGGGAAACUGCAUGAUGGAGGGGGAUAACUACUGGAAACGGUAGCUAAUACCGCAUAACGUCGCAAGACCAAAGAGGGGGACCUUAGGGCCUCUUGCCAUCGGAUGUGCCCAGAUGGGAUUAGCUAGUAGGUGGGGUAACGGCUCACCUAGGCGACGAUCCCUAGCUGGUCUGAGAGGAUGACCAGCCACACUGGAACUGAGACACGGUCCAGACUCCUACGGGAGGCAGCAGUGGGGAAUAUUGCACAAUGGGCGCAAGCCUGAUGCAGCCAUGCCGCGUGUAUGAAGAAGGCCUUCGGGUUGUAAAGUACUUUCAGCGGGGAGGAAGGGAGUAAAGUUAAUACCUUUGCUCAUUGACGUUACCCGCAGAAGAAGCACCGGCUAACUCCGUG